rnacentral:misc_RNA from 1 species
CCGAGUUUACAACUCCCAAACCCCUGUGAACAUACCUUAUCGUUGCCUCGGCGGAUCAGCCCGCGCCCCGUAAAAAGGGACGGCCCGCCGAGGAACCCUAAACUCUGUUUUUAGUGGAACUUCUGAGUAUAAACAAACAAAUAAAUCA